GACGAACGCUGGCGGCGUGCUUAACACAUGCAAGUCGAACGGAAAGGCCCUGCUUUUGUGGGGUGCUCGAGUGGCGAACGGGUGAGUAACACGUGAGUAACCUGCCCUUGACUUUGGGAUAACUUCAGGAAACUGGGGCUAAUACCGGAUAGGAGCUCCUGCUGCAUGGUGGGGGUUGGAAAGUUUCGGCGGUUGGGGAUGGACUCGCGGCUUAUCAGCUUGUUGGUGGGGUAGUGGCUUACCAAGGCUUUGACGGGUAGCCGGCCUGAGAGGGUGACCGGUCACAUUGGGACUGAGAUACGGCCCAGACUCCUACGGGAGGCAGCAGUGGGGAAUAUUGCAUAAUGGGCGGAAGCCUGAUGCAGCAACGCCGCGUGCGGGAUGACGGCCUUCGGGUUGUAAACCGCUUUCGCCUGUGACGAAGCGUGAGUGACGGUAAUGGGUAAAGAAGCACCGGCUAACUACGUG
rnacentral:rRNA from 1 species